AUCCAGAUGAUGAAUCCCAAAUAGGACGAAACGCGCGUCCUAGAU
rfam:Schistosoma haematobium scaffold775_17, whole genome shotgun sequence.